rnacentral:rRNA from 1 species
AACGAACGCUGGCGGCAGGCUUAACACAUGCAAGUCGAACGCACCCUUCGGGUGAGUGGCAGACGGGUGAGUAACGCGUGGGAACGUGCCCUUCAGUUCGGAAUAACCCAGGGAAACUUGGGCUAAUGCCGGAUACGUGCGAGAGCAGAAAGAUUUAUCGCUGAAGGAUCGGCCCGCGUCUGAUUAGCUGGUUGGUAGGGUAAUGGCCUACCAAGGCGACGAUCAGUAGCGGUCUGAGAGGAUGAUCAGCCACAUUGGGACUGAGACACGGCCCAAACUCCUACGGGAGGCAGCAGUGGGGAAGUA